AUUGAACGCUGGCGGCAGGCCUAACACAUGCAAGUCGAGCGAGCGGCGGACGGGUGAGUAAUGUCUGGGAAACUGCCUGAUGGAGGGGGAUAACUACUGGAAACGGUAGCUAAUACCGCAUACCAUCAGAUGUGCCCAGAUGGGAUUAGCUAGUAGGUGGGGUAAUGGCUCACCUAGGCGACGAUCCCUAGCUGGUCUGAGAGGAUGACCGGCAAACCUGGAACUGGGAACCGGUCCAGACCCCUACGGAGGGCAGAAGUGGGAAAUAUUGCACAAUGGGCGAAAGCCUGAUGCAGCCAUGCGGCGGGUGGGAAGAAGGCUUUCGGGUUGUAAAGCACUUUCAGCGGGGAGGCGGUACUCGCAGAAGAAGCACCGGCUAACUCCGUGCCAGCAGCCGCGGUAAUUC
rnacentral:rRNA from 1 species